UUGAGUGGCGGACGGGUGAGUAACGCGUGGGUAACCUGCCCUGUACAGGGGGAUAACAGUUAGAAAUGACUGCUAAUACCGCAUAAGCGCACAGGGCCGCAUGGUCUGGUGUGAAAAACUCCGGUGGUGUAAGAUGGACCCGCGUCUGAUUAGGUAGUUGGUGGGGUAACGGCCCACCAAGGCGACGAUCCAUAGCCGGCCUGAGAGGGUGAACGGCCACAUUGGGACUGAGACACGGCCCAGACUCCUACGGGAGGCAGCAUG
rnacentral:rRNA from 1 species